UGAGGAUGGCUAUUAUAGGGGUGCAUAGGAGAAAAUGAGUGUGAAGAAUGACGUAUAGGAAGAAAAAUAAAAAAAGGAUAGGUGCGGUAAAAAUAAAAGAAAGCAAAAGAAAAAGAAAAAAAAUUGUAAGAAAAGAAAAAAAUGUGAGAAAACCCUACCUGAUCCAGUCUGAAUGUGUUACAAUAAAAAAGGGAGACAUAAGGUCGGAAAUAAAAUGAAGAAAAAGUAGAAAAAUAAGCGGACCCCAAAAAAAAGUGUAGUG
rnacentral:lncRNA from 1 species